rnacentral:rRNA from 1 species
GUACGGGAGGCAGCAGUGGGGAAUUUUGGACAAUGGGGGCAACCCUGAUCCAGCCAUGCCGCGUGCGGGAAGAAGGCCUUCGGGUUGUAAACCGCUUUUGGUCGGGAAGAAAAGGCACACGCUAAUACCGUGUGUUCUUGACGGUACCGGCAGAAUAAGCACCGGCUAACUACGUGCCAGCAGCCGCGGUAAUACGUAGGGUGCGAGCGUUAAUCGGAAUUACUGGGCGUAAAGCGUGCGCAGGCGGUUCGUUGUGUCCGGUGUGAAAGCCCCGAGCUUAACUUGGGAAUGGCAUUGGAAACUGGCGAGCUGGAGUGUGGCAGAGGGGGGUGGAAUUCCACGUGUAGCAGUGAAAUGCGUAGAGAUGUGGAGGAACACCGAUGGCGAAGGCAGCCCCCUGGGCCAACACUGACGCUCAGGCACGAAAGCGUGGGGAGCAAACAGGAUUAGAUACCCGUGUAGUCCC